rnacentral:ncRNA from 2 species
GGUAGCAAUCGAAUAAGCCUUCAUAUAUCCUCGGCAAUAAGGGUCGGAAGUAUCUAGCGGAGCACCGUAAACGCUCCGACUAUGAAGGCGGGAAUCGCGACG